UACGUAGGGAGCAAGCGUUGUCCGGAAUCAUUGGGCGUAAAGCGCGCGUAGGUGGCCCUGUAAGUCCGUUGUGAAAGUCAAAGGCUCAACCUUUGAAAGCCGAUGGAUACUGCAGGGCUAGAGUACGGAAGAGGCGAGUGGAAUUCCUGGUGUAGCGGUGGAAUGCGCAGAUAUCAGGAGGAACACCAGUGGCGAAAGCGGCUACCUGGCCCAAUUCUUGACGCUGAGGCGCGAAAGCUAGGGGAGCAAACAGG
rnacentral:rRNA from 1 species